GUGGGGAAUAUUGGGCAAUGGGGGAAACCCUGACCCAGCAACGCCGCGUGAAGGAAGAAGGCUUUCGGGUUGUAAACUUCUUUUAUGAGGGACGAAGAAGUGACGGUACCUCAUGAAUAAGCCACGGCUAACUACGUGCCAGCAGCCGCGGUAAUACGUAGGUGGCAAGCGUUGUCCGGAUUUACUGGGUGUAAAGGGCGCGUAGGCGGGAUAGCAAGUCAGGUGUGAAAUCCGGGGGCUUAACCCUCGAACUGCACUUGAAACUGUUAUUCUUGAGUGAUGGAGAGGCAAGCGGAAUUCCUAGUGUAGCGGUGAAAUGCGUAGAUAUUAGGAGGAACACCAGUGGCGAAGGCGGCUUGUUGGACAUUAACUGACGCUGAGGCGCGAAAGCGUGGGGAGCAAACAGGAUUAGAUACCCGGGUAGUCC
rnacentral:rRNA from 1 species